rnacentral:snRNA from 1 species
UUUUAUAUCACUAAAUGUUUACU